GGUGAACGCUGGCGGCGGGCCUAACACAUGCAAGUCGAACGGAAAGACAGUGAGAUUGUGCUCUUACGGGUGGCGGGGGGCGGGUGGGUGACGAGUGCAUCGGAAUCUUCUCUUUCGGGGGGGAUAACGUAGGGAAGGCUACGAUAAUAUCGCAUAUAAUGUACCGUAGAGAGCAGUGGAGAUUCGCGGUUUUCGUGUAUGAACUAGCUGAUGACGGGUUGGCUAGUUGGGUGGGUAAAGGCCCACCAAGGCGACGAUACGUAGCUGAUCUGAGAGGAUGAUCGGCCACACUGGAACUGAGACACGGUCCAGACUCCUACGGGAGGCAGCAGUGGGGAAUCUUCGGCAAUGGGCGCAAGCCUGACCCAGCCAUGCCGCGUGGGUGAUGAAGGCCUUCGGGUCGUAAAGCCCUUUUGUUGGGAAAGAACAGCUGUAGAUUGAUACGCCGCUGUCCUGACGGUACCCAAUCAAGAAGCACCGGCUAACUACGUG
rnacentral:rRNA from 1 species